UACGUAGGGGGCUAGCGUUGUCCGGAAUCAUUGGGCGUAAAGAGCGUGUAGGCGGCCCGGUAAGUCCGCUGUGAGAGUCGGGGGCUCAACCCUCGAAUGCCGGUGGAUACUGUCGGGCUAGAGUGCGGAAGAGGCGAGUGGAAUUCCUGGUGUAGCGGUGAAAUGCGCAGAUAUCAGGAGGAACACCGAUUGCGAAGGCAGCUCGCUGGGACGUCACUGACGCUGAGACGCGAAAGCGUGGGGAGCAAACGGG
rnacentral:rRNA from 1 species